CGGCUCUGCGCCGACGCUUUGGUCACGACACCGCGCGCUGCGCCGCGCGGCAGCCCCAUCCGGCGCGCGGCUCUCGGCGGGGGCCGGCGGCGCUCUUGCGACUUGCGUAGUUGCAUGGCUUGGCACUAGCACAGCAUGAGAUGGUCAGAUGGAUGAUGGAUCGCUCCAUCUCUACAUCGGCGGUGGCCGGCAAGUCCGCGAGCUGUUCGACGAUAUGCGCAGCCGGGAACGACUGGGCCUUCUUCUCUAGCUACGGCGUGGAAAGAAAUAUAAUUUGCAGUUGCCUCUGAAUGUUUACAAAAAUCGCACCGUCAAGGAGGUUGUGGUGGAUACACGAAGACCAAGACAGAACACACCAGUGUUCUGGUAUGGAUGUAAUCGUAAGGAUGCAUGUAUGGUCAAAUAUUCUUCGAGAAAACAUCAGGUCCAGGAGUAGGAGUAUCUUAUUUCGGUUUCCCAGAGUUCUCAGGAUCAGUCACUGCCCAGGUCGAUUGAAAGACGAUGAAAGGUAGUCCUGGGGCCUACUUGCUGGUGACCUGAAUCCACAUCAACCACAAAAUCAUCAAUCUUGGAGCAACUCCAAUUUUCCUGAUACCUAUUCCAUGAUCAGGCUACUCCAGCGCAUCCACAUCAGGUUCAGAACUUCAGAAGGAAGCCACGCACCCAGUUUCCUCCAGUAACAUAACCAUCAACUGACUGGAAACCUCCGUCACAUGUCGACAUGAUCCAGGUGUGGACUAGUCUCGCAAAGUUCUAGACCUUGCCGCUGCCUCUGGUUGUGGUUAAAUCAUGUGGUGUGAAACUCGUCGGAGCUGCGGCGUAGAGAAUGGACGACGGCCUUUUUCUCAGUUUAUAUUUAGGCCUUGUUUAGUUGGGAAGUGAAAAGUGGGUGUCACAUCGGAUGUUUAAUAGGAUGUUGGGAAAGAGUGAAAAAAAAACUAAUUACAUAACUCGUCUGAAAACUACAAGACGAAUUUAUUAAGCCUAA